rnacentral:rRNA from 1 species
ACAUCCAGCGAACUUGGCAGAGAUGCCUUGGUGCCUUCGGGAACGCUGAGACAGGUGCUGCAUGGCUGUCGUCAGCUCGUGUUGUGAAAUGUUGGGUUAAGUCCCGCAACGAGCGCAACCCUUUAUCCUUUGUUGCCAGCGAUUCGGUCGGGAACUCAAAGGAGACUGCCGGUGAUAAACCGGAGGAAGGUGGGGAUGACGUCAAGUCAUCAUGGCCCUUACGAGUAGGGCUACACACGUGCUACAAUGGCGCAUACAAAGAGAAGCGACCUCGCGAGAGCAAGCGGACCUCAUAAAGUGCGUCGUAGUCCGGAUCGGAGUCUGCAACUCGACUCCGUGGAGUCGGAAUCGCUAGUAAUCGUGGAUCAGAAUGCCACGGUGAAUACGUUCCCGGGCCUUGUACACACCGCCCGUCACACCAUGGGAGUGGGUUGCAAAAGAAGUAGGUAGCUUAACCCUCGGGAGGGCGCUUACCACUUUGUGAUUCAUGACUGGGGUGAAGUCGUAACAAGGUAGGCGUAGCGAG